GAUGAACGCUGGCGGCGUGCCUAAUACAUGCAAGUCGAGCGAACAGACGAGGAGCUUGCUCCUCUGACGUUAGCGGCGGACGGGUGAGUAACACGUGGAUAACCUACCUAUAAGACUGGGAUAACUUCGGGAAACCGGAGCUAAUACCGGAUAAUAUAUUGAACCGCAUGGUUCAAUAGUUAAAGACGGCUUUGCUGUCACUUAUAGAUGGAUCCGCGCCGCAUUAGCUAGUUGGUAAGGUAACGGCUUACCAAGGCAACGAUGCGUAGCCGACCUGAGAGGAUGAUCGGCCACACUGGAACUGAGACACGGUCCAGACUCCUACGGGAGGCAGCAGUAGGGAAUCUUCCGCAAUGGGCGAAAGCCUGACGGAGCAACGCCGCGUGAGUGAUGAAGGUCUUCGGAUCGUAAAACUCUGUUAUUAGGGAAGAACAAAUGUGUAAGUAACUAUGCACGUCUUGACGGUACCUAAUCAGAAAGCCACGGCUAACUACGUG
rnacentral:rRNA from 1 species